AAGUCGUAACAAGGUUUCCGUAGGUGAACCUGCGGAAGGAUCAUUAUUACGAAAUCAAAAAUCGUAACCCCAAACAACCAAUUGUGCAUACUGUACUGUUCCGGUAGUUUCAUUUGACCUUUGUAAAGGCUUUCUUUGAUGUGCCUGCCUCAAAAACAAGCAUAAUCAAAGCACUUCUGAGCAGAUGAGGUGAAAGGGUCUUUUUUUGUCGAAUGGUUCAAACUACCGGUUAGUAUUAUCUGCUCACACACUUAACAAACCAUUAACCCCAUGUAACUAUUUUGAACUAAAUACAUCUGACGCAUGCAUCUCAUGUAUGUGUCUGAAUCAAAAACCGAACUUAUGAACAACUCUUAACAACGGAUAUCUUGGUUCUC
rnacentral:misc_RNA from 1 species